rnacentral:rRNA from 2 species
GAACGCACCGCAAGGUGAGUGGCGCACGGGUGAGUAACGCGUGGGAACCUGCCCUGGAGUGGGGGAUAACCCGGCGAAAGCCGGGCUAAUACCGCAUACGUCCUGAGGGAGAAAGAUUUAUCGCUCUAGGAGGGGCCCGCGUCGGAUUAGCUAGUUGGUGAGGUAACGGCUCACCAAGGCGACGAUCCGUAGCUGGUCUGAGAGGAUGAUCAGCCACACUGGGACUGAGACACGGCCCAGACUCCUACGGGAGGCAGCAGUGGGGAAUAUUGGACAAUGGGGGCAACCCUGAUCCAGCAAUGCCGCGUGAGUGAUGAAGGCCUUAGGGUUGUAAAGCUCUUUCGGCGGGGACGAUGAUGACGGUACCCGCAGAAGAAGCCCCGGCUAACUUCGUGCCAGCAGCCGCGGUAAUACGAAGGGGGCAAGCGUUGUUCGGAAUUACUGGGCGUAAAGGGCGCGCAGGCGGCCGACGUAGUCAGGCGUGAAAGCCCCGGGCUUAACCUGGGAAUUGCGUUUGAUACUCGUUGGCUGGAGUUCGGGAGAGGAUGGUGGAAUUCCCAGUGUAGAGGUGAAAUUCGUAGAUAUUGGGAAGAACACCGGUGGCGAAGGCGGCCAUCUGGACCGAAACUGACGCUGAGGCGCGAAAGCGUGGGGA